rnacentral:lncRNA from 1 species
AUUCUAUUCUGCAAAUCCACUGCAUAUGUUUAUUAGUUCCAGUUGCAUUUUGGUUGACUCUUUGUGAUUUUCUACACAGAAGAUCAUGUCAUCUACAAAGAAAUAGAGUUUUACUUCUGUCUUUCUGAUUUGGAUGAGUUUGAUUUCUUUUGCUAUUUCAUUGCUCUAGCUAGGACAGCCAGUAUUGAUUGAAUAGAAGGGGUGAGAGCAUUCUUGCAUCAUGUGAGAUCCUACAGGAAAAGCAUUCCAUUUUCCCUGACUGGUUAUUUCUGCUGUGGUCAUUUCAUGGAUGGUCUUUGUAUUGUUGAGGUCCCCAGUUCCAGUUAUUCCACCUGUCCGGACCGGACCAAUGUAUAUAUGUACUGAUUGCUGUCUCGUGUGUCUGUAAAAUGUGUGAAACCAAACUGCAGCCUCAACACCAUGGACACACGUCGUCAGGACCUCCUCAGGAUUGAUUUCCAGAGACUUAUGUUACUUGAGGAAGACACCAAGAAGAGCAAAGAAAAGGAGCCAGGGAUGGCUCUUCCUCAGAGACGUGGCUAUAGAGUUCUCUUUGUUGGAGUGGAAAAGCCUGGACCCUGCACAGAACGCUUUAUACAGGGCUGUGAUGUGGGAGAACUACAGGAACCUGGAGUCUGUGGGAUUGACUUCUAAAGACUCUUGGUACGUGAGGAAGAAACCCGGAAGAGGAAGAGG